GCGGAAGUUAUGGGACGUCAUUUUAUUUACAUCGAUAAGAGCCAAUAGGGUGAUAAGUCGAAUUGUAAACAAAGGGUGUAAGGACUUCCGGUCCGAGAGCCUCCCUUGUGGGUGCGAGCCGGUGAGGAGGGAAUUUUGAAUUGCAACCACCUCGGGUUUGUGGCGCAGGAAUGAUACAAACAGCAGAAAUUCUAAGAAACUGACGUCAUCAAGGCAGGGAUUGCUACAGCCAGCAGUCAGAGGAAGCUGCUUUCCAUGUCACUAAUGAACUUCGUGCAUCUUGUAGACAGUACACACUGCUGCAACUGUCCAUCGAUGGCGGGGGGAUUGGAUGCUUGUGGAAGGGAUACCAAUCCUUGCAUUGGCUUGUGUCAAGCUUCCUGAGUGUUGAUGGAGCUGCACUCAUCCAAGCGAGUGGCAGACAGGCUUUGGGGAGUCAGAGGAUGACCUCCAGGAAAUAAAGCAGGACCACGACUUCCUCGGCAUGUCAAAGAUUUUGCACUUGUGGUAUUCCUCCCCCCACCAUACAGUCUCUGCAUUUGGUGGUUUGUGUUGAUGGGUAGUAACUGUUCGUGAACCUGGUGGUGCAAGUCCUGAUGUUCCUGUACCUUCUACCUGAUGGCAGCAGUGAGAGAAGAGCAUGGCUUGGGUGGUGAGGAUCUUUGAUGAUGGAUGCUGCUUUUCUACAGCAACGUUUCAGGUACCGUCAACAGUAAACCAAUGAGUCACCACAGAGAACUUUUCAGUUUAAAAUCAAACCCACUUUUAUAUGGAGCAUGCAAGUGACAAAGUGAUAUCCAUUACAAGAACUCCUUCUACCUAGAGGGCCCAACAUUACAUUGUUGACUACGUAUUGAAAAGGAUUCACUGAUGUUAGUCCUGACGAAAGGUCUCGGCCCGAAACGUCGACAGCGCUUCUCCCUAUAGAUGCUGCCUGGCCUGCUGUGUUCCACCAGCAUUUUGUGUGUGUUGUUGUUUGAAUUUCCAGCAUCUGCAGAUUUCCUCGUGUUUGGUGGUUAACGAUGCUGCCUGACCAGCUGUGUUCUUCCAGCAUUUUGUGUUUGUUACUCUGGAUUUCCAACAACUGUAGAAUCUCUAGUGUUCAUAAUAAUCUUCAAAAAAGGCUCCUGUCUUAUCAAAGGAUGAAUUUACAGAUUAAUUUUCUGUAACAAUUAAUCUCGCAUUAAUGGAGCAUGCUGUAUUUGACAAUGUAUCACAUAAUUCAUCAUCCCCAUUAUGUGCUGUGUUGUAUGAUGUGGGUGAUCAUGGUUUUUGACUAUAAUUGUUCUUGAUAAUGUUUUUCUACAGAAAUGGUUUGCCAUUGCCUUCUUCAGGGGCAGUGUCUUUACAAGAUGACUGACCUCAGCCAUUAUUGAUACUCUUCAGAGCUUGUCUGUCUGCCAUCAGUGGUCGCAUAACCAAGUCUUGGGGCAGGCGGGCUAAGCAGGUGCUACACCAUGCCCAAGGGUGACCUGCAGGUUAGCAGAGGGAAGGAGUGACUUACACCUCCUUUGGCAGAGACAUAUCUCCUCCCCGCCACACAAAUCACAUAAUUAGAAAGAAAUAAUUCAUAAUUUCAAAAUAAGAGGUCCACUGUAUUGUCUGGAAAUAGAAAUACUUGCAAUAAGUUGCAGGUUUCCAUCCUUGGUUGCAUAAGGAAAAUCAAUGUUAUCAUCCAUUCAAAGAGCAGUGAGUAGAUUUCAUUUCUCCUUGACAGAGAGCAACAGGUGGAGCAAGUGUUUGGCUUCAUUACUGUCGCCAACUCGACCACGGUGCAGCACACCACUGACUCUUUCUACACUGCUUUGUGACUCAGAGGCGAAUAGUAAUGGAAAGAGAUUCCAUUUCCUGAAAAAUCAGCUUCUGCGUCAUGUUAUCCAAGACAAUGCCUGAUUUCCUGGCAACGGGUUACAGGGCCUUCAUUUUCCAAAGGACCCUUGACGCUAGGCAAAAGGUGACCACAGACUGACUGGGUCGUUGCGAAGAGUUGCUCUUUACCGCUAACUAUAUGACAAACAGUUAUGGAGCAGGGAGGAGCGAGGAUGCAACCUGCAGCUGAUAAUAUCUGUUUUUGAAUAGCAAUUGGACAUCAUUAACAUCAUUGGACUGCAAUUGGUGGCAGUCCUUCGGAUUCGAAGAAACCUGUGCGUGAUGGAGUUUUAAGUUGAACAGGGCCAAUCCCACUCACUCAGCAGAAGAGAUCUUGAUCCAGCGGCACAGACAACCGUUACGGCUGGAGACUGCAAUACAAAUAAAUUUAACCACAUAUUCUCAGACCCAAAAUUGAUUCUGUUCCUCUCACUGCCAGAGAUCACAGGAUGUACUUCACCACAAUGCAAAUAUAAAAGCAGAUAGAAAAUUAAGAUAUCAAAGUACUUUUUUAUAAAUGAAAUAAACUGAGCUGUAUAGAAAUGUCACUAGUCACAUUUGAGGAUUCCCAUAGUCCUGAUUUCUAUGAGCCUGUUCUAGUAUUCCCACACACUGCCUGACCACUGGCUGGAACAUGUCCGAUGGUAAACAGCAGAAGGCCUUGAAGGACGACGCUGUGCGGCUCUCUCCUUAAAUAACCUUUCUUGCAUGAAUGGCUGCAACCUGGGCAACUCCAAGGAGACUGGGGGAAUGGUGACAGUGGGAUCCUGAGUGCUUUCAUCCGGUGAGGAUUCAGCAGACUCGUAUUCCAUGGAUACAUUGUCCUGACCCAGAGUAGUGUAUUCUACUGAAGGUCAGAUUCCUGGAAUGCAAUCACCUUUUGGGCAGACAACCAGAGACACAAUUUCAGCAUUUGGAACUUGUAAGUCUUAACUUUCAUUACAGUGCCCAUUGUUGGGUAGAUUAUCCCUGUAAUCAGAAGUAGGAUAGCAGCCAUCAGCUGGCUCGGGUUUGACUCCACAGGGACCCCAAUGUGUAUUUCCACCACAUCUGCACUGGGAAGGGUGGCAUUCAGGUCCUGCACAAAUCCCUGUGCAAAAUUUGUAGUGGCUGCUCUCUGCUCCUGGCAAUUGCGACAAAGCUUUCUCGCAGGCCUACCGCAUCAGCAGUCAUUUGCUUAUGCAAAUACUUUAACCUUCUUUUGUAGAUCAACUUUUAAAUUAAUCUUCUUUUGUGAUAGUGAAGGGUAGCCAGUAAUUCAAAUUAACAGGCAAAGGUAUUUUAUUGAACAAGUAACUGAAAUUGUGCAAUAAAGCAUUUCUUCCAAUGUUUUGCUCAAACUAUACAUGCAAUCUCCUAUAAGUUUCUGUUCAGAAUUGUAUCGUAUUGGCAUAACAAGUCACAGUUCCUGAAGAGGUUGUGACCAAUAUUCUAAUUUACAUGUUAAUCAUUUGAUUAUUGGUGGGACCUAAAUGUAGGCAAAAAGAUUGCCUCAUUUUCUAUAUAUCAUUUGAUUGUGGAGUAAUUAUUGUUAUUUGAAGCUCUUUAUAAUACAUGCUAUGUAAAUGCAUAUUUUUAUGAUUAAACCUCGCCUGC